UACUAGAGUAGCACUCGCAUAUCAAUAAGCGGAGGAAAAGAAACUAACAAGGAUUCCCCUAGUAACGGCGAGUGAAGCGGGAAGAGCUCAAAUUUGAAAUCUUAAAGGGUUUCCCUUUACGAAUUGUAGUUUAAAGAAGUGUUUUCUGUUGAGGUUUUGGUAAAAGUUCUUUGGAAUAGGACAUCAUAGAGGGUGAGAAUCCCGUAUUUGACCUUUACUUUCAACUUUGUGAUACACUUUCAAAGAGUCGGAUUGUUUGGGAAUGCAGUCCAAAAUGGGUGGUGAAUUUCAUCUAAAGCUAAAUAUUGGCGAGAGACCGAUAGCGAACAAGUACCGUGAGGGAAAGAUGAAAAGAACUUUGAAAAGAGAGUUAAACAGUACGUGAAGUUGUCAAAAGGGAAGCGUUUGACACCAGUGUUGUUUUUCUGAAAAUCAAUUAAAGAACUGUUUAUGCUAAGUUGUUUAGACUUUAUCAGCUAUCUGUUUAGUUUUGAGCUUUUCUUUAAUGCACUUUUCAGUUAACAAGUCAACAUCAAUUUCUUUUGCUGUAAAAAAGCUUGAGGAAGGUGGCUUGAGAUUCGUCUUAAGUGUUUAUAGCCUCUUGCCUAUGCAGUCGGAGAGAUUGAGGUCUGCAGCGUAGAUCCUUCGGGGCUAAAUGCAUUUGUGCUAAGUUAUAGCAUUUUAUAGACAACUUGUUGACUAUGAUUUGUCUUGUAGCUUACUCGCUUAUGUUAUUUUACCUACGCUUAGGAUGUUGAGCGCAUGUCUCUCUCU
rnacentral:rRNA from 1 species